rnacentral:rRNA from 1 species
AAAAAUUUAAAUGGCCGCAGUAUUUUAACUGUGCAAAGGUAGCAUAAUCAUUAGUCUUUUAAUUGAAGGCUUGUAUGAAUGGUUGGACGAAAUAUUAACUGUUUCAUAAAAAUUGAUUUAGAAUUUUAUUUUUUAGUUAAAAAGCUAAAAUAUUUUUAAAAGACGAGAAGACCCUAUAGAUCUUUAUAGUUUAUUUAUUACAGUUAUUUAGAUAAUUUAAAUUGUGAUAUGUAUAAAUUAUUUUGUUGGGGUGACAUUAAAAUUUAAUUAACUUUUAAUAUAUUUAUUACAUUGAUUUAUGAUUAAUUGAUCCAUUAUUAAUGAUUAUAAAAUUAAGUUACCUUAGGGAUAACAGCGUAAUUUUUUUGAAGAGUUCAUAUCGAUAAAAAAGAUUGCGACCUCGAUGUUGGAUUAAGAUAUAAUUUUGGGUGCAGCAAUUCAAUUAUAAAGUC